GCGAUCCUCCUACUUCAGCCUCCUGAGCAGCUAAGGACUACAGCACAUUAUGUUCCUGAAAACCAGGAACUGCUUCCUGUCUGACCCACUGCAGUGGUGGAGAGGAUCAAGGGAAAUAAUGAUCAUGGAUGUGCUUAGGAGACGUAAGAUUUUACUAAGAAUUGCUGUGAGCUGGGCACCCUUCUACGCUCUGCAGACACCAUGGCUAGUAAGACAGGCAAAGACCUGCCAUCUGGAGCUUGUUUGGAUAUAGGGUAGGGGGACGGGGAGAAGGGAGAUAAACAAUAAACAAGUAAAUUUACA
rnacentral:lncRNA from 1 species